UACGGAGGAUCCAAGCGUUAUCCGGAUUUAUUGGGUUUAAAGGGUGCGUAGGUGGUUUAUUAAGUCAGGGGUGAAAGACGGCAGCUUAACUGUCGCAGUGCCUUUGAUACUGAUGAACUUGAAUAAACUAGAGGUAGGCGGAAUGUGACAAGUAGCGGUGAAAUGCAUAGAUAUGUCACAGAACACCAAUUGCGAAGGCAGCUUACUAUGGUUUGAUUGACACUGAGGCACGAAAGCGUGGGGAGCAAACAGG
rnacentral:rRNA from 1 species